CAGCAGAGUCCAAAGGUCAAAGUUGAAAGAGUGUUGAAUUCUUCCUGAUUCCUGGGACACUGCUUCUGUAGACACUAUCACCAACAAAAUCCAUCCUGGAGGAAUGACCCUUUAAGAAAUAGGAUGGAAGGUAAGGUGGAGGGAACACAAUGUCUGGAGAACAGGAGCCACGAAGCUACUACGUGGGCGUGGAUGUUGGAACAGGCAGCGUCCGUGCUGCUCUCGUUGACCGGAGAGGGGUCCUUUUGGCCUUCGCAGACCAACCGAUUAAGAGGUGGGAGCCUCAGUUCAACCACCAUGAGCAAUCCUCUGAAGACAUCUGGGAUGCGUGCUGUGUUGUCACAAAGGUUUGUGACCAGAUGCCAGAAGCUGCAGGACAAUCAUGCCACAUCUAUGGGGACAUCAUGGCUGAAAGUUGUACAAGGGAUCGAUUUAAACCAAAUUCGAGGACUUGGGUUCGAUGCCACAUGCUCUCUGGUUGUCUUGGAUAAACGGUUUCGUCCUUUGCCAGUAAACCAUGAAGGGGAUUCCCAUCGAAAUGUCAUCAUGUGGCUGGACCACCGAGCAGUCAGUCAGGUGCAUAGGAUCAAUGAGACGAAGCACAGUGUCCUCCAGUAUGUUGGGGGCGUGAUGUCUGUGGAAAUGCAGGCCCCAAAGCUUCUCUGGCUAAAAGAGAACUUGAGAGAGACUUGCUGGGAUAAGGCGGGACAUUUCUUUGAUCUCCCAGACUUCUUAUCAUGGAAGGCAACAGGUGUCACAGCACGGUCUCUCUGCUCCCUGGUAUGCAAAUGGACAUACUCAGCUGAGAAAGGUUGGGAUGACAGUUUCUGGAAGAUGAUUGGUUUGGAAGACUUUGUUGCUGAUAAUUACAACAAAAUAGGAAACCAGGUGCUACCUCCCGGAACUUCUCUUGGAAGUGGGCUCACACCAGAGGCUGCAAAGGAGCUUGGCCUUCGCCCCGGGGUCCCAGUGGCAGCCUCGCUCAUUGAUGCCCAUGCCGGAGGACUAGGAGUGAUUGGAGCAGAUGUGAGGGGUCAUGGCCUCAUCUGUGAGGGACAGCCAGUGACGUCACGGCUGGCUGUCAUCUGUGGAACAUCUUCUUGUCACAUGGGGAUCAGCAAAGACCCAAUUUUUGUACCAGGUGUCUGGGGGCCUUAUUUCUCAGCCAUGGUCCCUGGGUUCUGGCUGAACGAAGGUGGUCAGAGUGUCACUGGAAAAUUGAUAGACCACCUGGUACAAGGCCACCCUGCCUUCCCUGAAUUGCAAGCCAAGUCCACAGCCAGAUGCCAGAGUAUAUAUGCAUAUUUGAAUAGUCACCUGGAUCUGAUUAAGAAGGCUGAGCCUGUGGGUUUCCUCACUGUUGAUCUGCAUGUUUGGCCAGAUUUCCAUGGCAACCGGUCUCCCUUAGCAGAUCUGACACUAAAGGGCAUGGUCACUGGAUUGAAACUAUCUCAGGACCUUGAUGAUCUUGCCAUCCUCUACCUGGCCACAGUUCAAGCCAUUGCUUUUGGGACCCGCUUCAUUAUAGAGGCCAUGGAGACAGCAGGGCACUCCAUCAGUACUCUUUUCUUGUGUGGGGGCCUGAGCAAGAAUCCUCUUUUUGUGCAGAUGCAUGCAGACAUUACUGGCAUGUCUGUGGUCCUGUCGCAAGAGGUGGAGUCUGUUCUUGUGGGAGCUGCUAUUCUGGGUGCUUGUGCCUCGGGGGAUUUCACUUCUGUGCAGGUUGCCUUGUACCUGACCUCUGGACUCUUGGCCAGUGAGAGAUUCUGGUGGAAGAAGGAAAUGCUGAAAAAGAAGUCGAGUCCCUUCUCCCCUUUGCUACAGCUACAGGAGGCAAUGGCAAGAAUGAGCAAAGUCGGGAAAGUUGUGUUUCCGAGACUUGAGGAUAAGAAAUAUUAUGACAAGAAAUAUCAAGUAUUCCUGAAGCUGGUUGAACACCAGAAGGAGUAUUCAGCAAUCAUGAGUGGGGACUGAACAGACAGACACCAAUGCCAUUAGGACCUCUGUCCUUGCAUCUUACAUUCAAGACCCUUUAGGAACCUUCAUUGACUCACUUCAUCUUCAUAACCCUAAAGGUAAAUAAUAUCCCUGUUCUAUACAUGAGGAAACCAAGGUUCCAAAAGACUGAAUAAUUCAUUCCAAGUUACAUCCUGGUAAGUAACUCUAAACAACCUCCUAUAUGUAUUGAAAGAUGUUUUGGGCUGAGCUGCAGCUCAGGUUUUUAAAAUAUUGGUGACAGGAGACAGACAGUGCCCCAUUUGAACUAUAUGAAUGGUAGUGUCCUAUGAUUAGGAGAGGAGGAAGGAGCUGAAGGCUCAUGAAGAGAAAAGCAAAACAGAAAGGGUGAAUGGGCUAAUGGGCUGCUGGGUUUUUUUCCUCUCUUCUUUCUUUCUUUCUUUCUUUUUCUUUCUUUCUUUUUUGAUGUUAUCUAUUUAUACUUUAAAAUUUUCUCAAACUGGGGUGUAGUUUAGUAGUAGGCCCAGCUAUCCCACUCCGUGGACUUCACCCUCUUGACCUUUUGAAACAGCUUAGAAAGAGUGAGGACUUACCACUGGAGGGGGCUAUGUUCUUAAUUCUUUGGACUUAGUCACAAGCAGCACAGUUAUGAAGGAGAGCUCAGCAAACUUUUCCUGUAAAAAGCCACAUGGCAAAUAUUUUCAUGUUGCAUAUCAUAAGGUCUCCGUCAAUACUGCUCUACUCUGCACUGUGACGUAUAACCAGAAACAGGCCAUAUGCAAAUGAACAGGCAUGGCUGUGUCCGUGAAAGUCUGGGAGACUACUCGCUAUUCCUUGUCAACCUGCACUGUUAGUCAGAACACAGCCUUCGUCUACACUUCCAUAACGUGCUACUGCUUGCUUCAUUCACAAUUUAUCCUCACGCUUCUGCCAUCAUCAUGCCAAGGCAUCAACUGUGCCUCCUGGAGCCUCCACUCCAUUGCAAAUAUGUAUCCUGCAGUGUGUCUUCACUCUCCCUGAUUUGAACUGAAGCCUCACUCACUCUUGGCCAAAGACCUUACAUCAUUCAUUCACUCAUCUAACAACAAUGUAUCUAGUAGGAACUCUAUCAAUAAUAACUAGCCUUGCAUUGUUGUGUGUGUGUUACAUAUAUUAAGCCCUCCAAAUCUCACAACCACGUUAUUUUCCUUUAUGGGUCAGAAAACUGAGACAAAGAGUGCUUAAGAAACACUGCAGUAACAUCUCUUAAGUGGCAGAGCCAGGAAUGCACCCAGGCUCUGGAACCAAGUUUUAUCCCCCAUACAUCACUGUUCUAUAAAUGGACAUACAGUAGAGACCACUAGAGAGAUCAUCCCUGUUUAAGGGGAAGAAUGUUUUUAAAUUUUCAUCUUGCAAUACUUUUAAUUUUGCAGAAGAGCUUCAAAUGAUACAGAAUUCCCAUAUAUCCUUAGGUUUCCCCAACAAUAACAUCGCACACAACCACACACUAUUUAUUAAUACUAAGAAAUUAAUGUGGAUACAAUAUUACAGACUUAACUACACAUUCUAACAGCAUUUCACCUGUUUGUCCACUAAUGUCAUUUUGGUAGUUCAGGAUCUAGUGUAGGGCACACGUGGCAUUGAAUCAUCAUGUCUCCUCAGUCUCCUCCAAUCUGUGACAGUUUCUCCCACUUUUGUUUUUUAUGAUCUUGACGCUUUUGGAAAGCAUGGAUGAGUUAUUUUGUAGAAAAUCCCUCAAGUUGUUUUUGAUUUUAUUUUAUUUGUUCUUUUUAGAUAUACAUGAUAGUGGAGUUUAUUUUGGCAUAUUAUACAUACCCAGGGUGUAACUGAUUCUAAUGAGGAUACUAUUCUUGUGGUUGUACAUGAUGCAGAGUUACUCUGGACAUGUAUUCAAAUACAAGGAGAGGAAAAUUAUGCUCAAUUAAUUCUACUGUCCUUCCUACUCCCCUUCCCCAUCCCUUCUCUCAUUCCCCUUUAUCUAUUUCAAUAUACUUCUGUUCUUCCCUACCCAUCCUCACAUGUUGUGGGUUAGCAUCCACAUAUCAGAGAGAAUAUCUGGUCUUUGGUAUUUUGGAAAUGGCUUAUUUUAAUUAGCAUAAUAUUCUUCAGUUCCAUCCAUUUACUGUCAAAUGCCAUGAUUCCACUCUUCUUAAUGGCUGAGUAGUAUUCCAUAAUACUUUCCAUAAUGCUUUCCAUUGUGGUUGCACCAAUUUGCAGUCCCAUCAGCAAUGUAUGCAAGUACCUUUCUCCCCACAUCUUUGGCAACCUUUAUUGUUACUUGUAUUCUUGAUAAUUGCCAUUCUGACUGGAGUAAGAUGGAAACUCAGGGUAGUUUUAACUUGCAUUUUUCUAAUUACUAAAGAUAUUGAACAUUUUUCAUCAUAUAUUUUUGACCAUUCAGAUUUCUUCUUCUGUGAAGUAUCUGUUCAAGUCUUUUUCCCAUUUAUUGAUUGGGUUAUUUGGGUUUUCUUGGUGUUGUUUUUUGAGUUCUUUGUAUAUCCUGGAAAUUAAAGCUCCAUCUGAAGUGCAGGUUGUAAAGAUUCUCCCAUUCUGUAGGCUCUCUGUUCAUAUUCUUAUUGUUUCCUUUGCAGUGAAGAAGUUUUUCAGUUUGAUAUCAUUCUAUUUAUUGAUUCUUGAUUUUACUUCUUGCACUUUAGGAGUCUUAUUGAGAAAGUCAAUUCCUAAGUCCACAUGAUGGAGAGUUGAGCCUACUUUUUCUUCCAUCCGGUGCAGGGUUUCUGGUCUAAUACUUGAUCCACUUUGAGUCGAGUUUUGUGCGGGGUUAGAGAGGGGUUGUUUCUUUCUAUUUCAUAUGAAUGUAGUUUUCCCAGCACCAAUUUUUGAAGAGGCUAUAUUCUCUCAAUGUAUUUUUUGGCACCUUGGUCUAGUAUGAGGUAACAAUAUUUAUGUGGGUUCACAUCUAUGUCUUCUAUUCUAUUUCAUUGGUCUUCCUGUUUGUUUUGUGCCAAUACCAUACUGUUUUUGUUACUAUAGAUCUGUAGUAUAAUUCAAGGUCUGGUAUUGAGAUGCCACCUGCAUCAUUAAGUUGGUUUUGUUUGAUGUGUUUCUAUAAUCAGACUGGACCCAAGAAUUUGGGGCUGAAUAGCAAACAGGUGAUGUGCCCUUCUCAUAACAUCAGGUCAAGAAUGCAUGCUAUAUAUGAGUCAUCAGGUGAGUUGGAAUUAAUCAUUUGGCUAAGGUAUGUGUGCUAUAUUUCUCUGCUGCAAAGUUAUUGUUUUUCACUUUUCAGAUUCUAUUAGCAGUGAGUACUAAGUCCAGCCCACAUUCAAACGGAAUAGAAUUAAGCUCUACCUCCUGGAGGAGGGAGAACUACAUUUACCACUUAAAAUUCCACAGGGAAUAUUUGUCCUUUCUUUCCCAUUUGUUUUCUUGACCAUUUACAUCAGUAUGGAUUCAUGGAAGUUUGUUUUAUUCUUUAGGUUAUAAUCCAGUACUGUCACUAUUUAUUUUGCUACACAGAUUCUUACAACUUUGGUCGCUGGGAGCUUUCUCAGGUUAAUUAUUUUGUCCUUUUCACAUUUCCAUUUUGUUUAAGACUUUUUCUGCUUUUUGUCACUACCACCUGCUCCAGGCUUAGCUUAUGUUUUUCUGCCCCCACCCUACAAUCAGCCACUUCCCAAAGAACUCAUUUCUUUUGUGGAAGAAUAGUGUUAGGAAUCAAGUUUUCAGUGCCCAAAAUGCUUUAGGUUCUUUCAGGGAAGCAGCCCUGCCCAUAAUCCCACUGUUCAAGAAGUAACCACAUGGCUUCACCUACUCAUCUUUGGCCCUGGAAGCAGCUAGAAAGUCCCACCCAUUCUCUUGCUGCCCCAGAAACACUAAGGUGGCCCACCCAUCUACCCUUGGACCCAGAAAAUAGCCAGGAAGCCCUGCACCCUUUUUCCCCAGAAGCAGUCAUGCAAACAUCCCUGAGUAGUUCAGCCUGAAGAGGUCCAGUUGAGCAGAAUUUCCUGAGUGGCCCUGUCUACAGAAGCCCCGUAAGAAGCAACCAGGUGGUCCUAGUCAUGCUUCUAUCAUCCCAAGAAGCAGCUGAGCAGCCUGUUCUCAGAAGCUCAGCCUACUGAGGUCAUGGGAAGCAGACACACAGCUCAGCUCACCUACUCUCAGUUCUAGGAAGCAGAUGGACUGACCUUCUGACACACGGAUGACAGCCCCAGCAUGAGGAUUCCAGUAACAUGAAGCUCCUGAUGUGGUUCUGUUUUCCUGAAUUGCUCUAGUGACAGUCCUGGCCUUGCAAAUGGUACCGGCUCUGCUCCUUUGCCCUCUGGUUUCCUGAUCCAGCCUCCCUUUACCUUUGGCUUCGUUUUUGGUUCAGCCAAAAGGACACAUCCUCUUGCUCCUGCAUCAAGGCUGAAGGUCUAAUUGUAGCAUCUCCCUUUAUGACAACUCCUGAUGAGUUGCAUUCACAAUGCCAGCUCUCGCCAAGCCCCAAGAACAUGGCUACUUCCUCUUUUUCUUUUUGGCCUAUGAGUAGGCUCCUUUAUGUUGCCAUCCCUGGGUGCCUUAGGAUUACUUGCAGGUUUCCUCAGUCCCAUUCAUACUUCUACGCAUGGUGCCUUCAUUAAAUUCUCAAGAGAACCCAAUGUGAGUGUGAAAUCUAUAUUUUGCCAGGCCUCUGACUGAUACAAUAAAUGUUUAUAGCAAAGUUGGAGUGAAGGGAGUAGUGUCCCAUUUUUGAGCUCCUGCUGUAGGCCAACACAGAGCUGGGCACUUUUAUGGCAGAUAAUCAAUGAACGCUAAUAAAUCUAAAGAAAGGAGUAUGAGGCAGAUAAAUCAGAGAAGAGCAAGUGUCACCAAAAUCUGAGACAUGGGAUUAGGAUCCUUUCCAUCAGUUUACCCAUUCUGCCAGCUCAGAAUGUAAACAUAACAAAAAGGGACAUCAGAAUUAAUCAGCUCAAUUAGCCCGAACAACAACAAUAUAAAAUGUUGUCCUAGGUCUGAAUAAAAUUUAAAGAGCAAUAGUGUAUAUAGCAAAGAGCAAGUAUGUGGUAUUUCUUUGUGUAAUUUAAUGUAACUUGGUUGUACGAUGGAGAUGAUCAGGCAUAAACAAAAAUUAAUGGAGUGACUGGUGUUCUCACAGAACUAUCCAUUUCUGGAGUGAUUUAAAAUUUUCAAAUGAUGUUCCAUCAGAAAGAAAGUAUUUCGCAUCCCGUUCACAGACAUCUAUGUGUGCAUAUGCACACGCAAUCAAGUUUAGGAAUGACUUAAAUGAAGAGAAAAAGAAACAAGAAGCCACAAAGUGUAUCAUUCCUAGUGUCUAACACAGGCACAAGUAUAUGGGUGCUAAGUUUGGAUGUUGAAUGUCUCCCAGAGGCCCAUGUGUUGGUCUCAGCCCCCAGCUUGGCAUUAUUGGGGAGUGGUGGAAUCUUUGAGAGGUGGGGCCUAUCCCUGUAGAGUUUUAGGUCAUUAGGGGCAUACAGAUGAAGGGGAUUGUGGGACAUGGCUUCUUCUGAUGUCUCCAUUCCUUGUCAUGAGGUGGAAAGGCUUUGCUCCAGUAUACACUACCCACAGGCCCAAAAGCAACAGGGCCAACCUUCAAAACUGUUAGACAAAACAAUCCCAUUAAUAAGUUAAUUACCUCAGGUAUUUGUUUCAGUAACAGAAUGCUAACAUAGUAGAUAUCCAGAAAAUUCUCUUUUGGGGCCUAUAAACUACCAAAGUCAGAUCAUUUGGUGUGCUUCGCUCAUGAAAGUAUUCUAGUUGUUAUACUGUCAGGAGAGGCCCACUCAGAGCCUUUUUAUUUCAAGUUUUUUGUAGGACAGCAGAGAUACCUUAGAUCCUUUUUGCACAAGUUGUUCUCAUAACCAAAUAUCAAAUAACCACAGUUCUGAGAAGUUUAAGAAAAAAGAUUCAUAAAAUACAAUGUUUCAUGUUUCUUUUUGCUAUAUUUUCCUGCUUUGAGUUCAACAUGUGUAAAUCAUUCUGUUACUAUAAGCUUAAUGAAUGAAGUAAAAAGUAAUAAUGAAAAAAUGUAAUAAUGAAAUAAAGUUUUAAUCACAA